rnacentral:rRNA from 1 species
AUUGAACGCUGGCGGCAGGCCUAACACAUGCAAGUCGAACGGUAACAGGAAGCAGCUUGCUGCUUCGCUGACGAGUGGCGGACGGGUGAGUAAUGUCUGGGAAACUGCCUGAUGGAGGGGGAUAACUACUGGAAACGGUAGCUAAUACCGCAUAACGUCGCAAGACCAAAGAGGGGGACCUUCGGGCCUCUUGCCAUCGGAUGUGCCCAGAUGGGAUUAGCUAGUAGGUGGGGUAACGGCUCACCUAGGCGACGAUCCCUAGCUGGUCUGAGAGGAUGACCAGCCACACUGGAACUGAGACACGGUCCAGACUCCUACGGGAGGCAGCAGUGGGGAAUAUUGCACAAUGGGCGCAAGCCUGAUGCAGCCAUGCCGCGUGUAUGAAGAAGGCCUUCGGGUUGUAAAGUACUUUUCAGCGGGGAGGAAGGCGAUAAGGUUAAUAACCUUGUCGAUUGACGUUACCCGCGAAGAAGCACCGCUAACUC